GCCGUCGUGGUGUAGUAGCCAGCACGCUCGACGCGUAUUCGAGAGAUCAGCGGUUCGAGUCCCGGCGAGGGCA
rfam:Stegodyphus mimosarum contig69386, whole genome shotgun sequence.